ensembl:snRNA U1 U1 spliceosomal RNA
AUACUUACCUGGUAGGAGAGAUACCAUGAUCAAGAAGGUGGUUCUCUCAGGCCGAGGCUCAGCCAUUGCACUCUGGCUUUGCUGAAAGCCUGCGAAUUCCCCAAAUGUGGGAAUCUCGACUGCAUAAUUUCUGGUAGUGGGGGACUGCGUUCGCGCUCUCCCCUA